rnacentral:lncRNA from 1 species
GGGGACACGGAGCAGAGAAAUAGGGGUGCUGUUAUAGCUUGUUUCUAAGGCAAGACAGGUGCUGUUAUAGCUUGUUUCUAAGGCAAGGGGCAGAUCUGGUGGAGAAGAAGAUGGUGCUGUAGAAGAGAGUCAUUGAGGAGCCGAGCCACGGGCAGGGGAGAGGGGUGUUUGCAAAUGGGGGGCUUGUCCUUGGGAGCAGAGACAGGUCAUCCUCUGUGACGGCUGGGCAGUAAGCACGGCUGAGUGUAGAUGCAAGUGAAUCUGUAAACUGGAUAAGGAGGACUUCUUGUCUUGUUGUUGCUGUUGUGUGAGGAAGACUGGCCCUGAGCUAACAUCUGUGCCCAUCUUCCUCUAUUUUGUUUGUGGGACGCCACCACAGUGUGGCUGAUGAGUGGUGUGUAGGUCCAUGCCAGGGAUCCGAACCUGCAAACCCCAGGCCACUGAAGCAGAGCACAAGAACUUAACCACUCCGCCACUGGGCCGGCCCCAGAGGACUUCUCGUUGAUAACGAGGACUUUCAAAUAAGAAGUGAGGACAACAGUCGAGACUGAAGAAUGGAGAAAGAGUGGGAAGCCCUUUUGAUGGAGUGAAGUGACUGAGGAAGUGAGUGAGCGUAACCAAGCCUGGCACAAAGACAUCAGAAAGAUGUUCCUAAGAAGAAAAGGAGAGAACACCUGAGAAAGAAGGAAAAUACCAUGUGACACUGAAACUGAGAUAAGCACGUGAGGGAAGCGGGCCCUGGAGAUUUUAGUUUGUUGCUCUCUCCUUCUCUUCUCUCUGCAGCUGGGUAAGGCAUCCUAGAAGUCAGCUGGCAUCAGCUUAGGAUGAGCAGGGGGUGCAGCUGGUAACACUCGGGGCAGACAAUUGGGGCAGUGACCGUGAAGAGGGUAGAAGGGGCUCCAUUGCCCAGGAAAACAACGUAGUCAGAACUUCCAACCAACAGGACGUGGGAGACGGAGAGGGCAGGGGCCAGCGGCCAUCCACCACCAGAUACACAGGUGUUCGUCCUGCCUCAACGCCAGUGUCCCAGAAAGACCCAGCAACUCUGGAGCCCAUGUGGACUCAGGCAGUUCCUAACACGCCGGCCCGGACUUUCCGUCUCUACUUUGUGACUCACUCCCCUGUCCCCACUCUUACCCCCCUGGGCUUGCACCCCCUACUACAGACGGGGACUUAGACUUCCAGUUGUAUUUUCCAGGCAACCUGGGGCUGAGACAGAAGCUGAGUCAAGAAAGUCCCUUUGGGCAUCAUCCCCCGCUGUCCUCGCCGACCCCCAGGACCUGUCCUGAAGCUCCGAUGAGGACCCACAGCGUCCGCCUGCGCAAGGAGACGCACGAUGCCCUUCUGUCUCCUGCCACGAUGCCUCCAGAGUCU